GACGAACGCUGGCGGCGUGCCUAAUACAUGCAAGUAGGACGCAGUUGCGACCGGGUGAGUAACGCGUAGGUAACUACCUACUAGAGGGGGAUAACUAUUGGAAACGAUAGCUAAUACCGCAUACUAGUAGAUGGACCUGCGUUGUAUUAGCUAGUAGGUAGGGUAAUGGCCUACCUAGGCAAUGAUACAUAGCCGACCUGGGAGGGUGAACAGCCACACUGGGAAAGAGACACGGCCCAUCAUCCUACUGGAGGCAUCAGUAGGGAAUCUUCGGCAAUUGGGGGAAACCUGACCGAGCAACGCCGCGUGAGUUGAGAAGGUUUUCGGAUCGUAAAGCUCUGUUGUUAAGGAAGCGGUACUUAACCAGAACGGGACGGCUAACUACGUGCCAGCAGCCGCGGUAAUUC
rnacentral:rRNA from 1 species